AGCUUGUCUGUGAUGUUCUUAAAAAAAUAAAAUGUCUGAACAUCUGAGUUCAUAAGUGAUUUCAUCUUGUAACUGAGACAAGCU